rnacentral:rRNA from 1 species
UACGUAGGGGGCAAGCGUUGUCCGGAAUCAUUGGGCGUAAAGCGCUCGUAGGCGGCCCGGUAAGUCCGCUCUGAAAGUCCAGGGCUCAACCCUGGAAAGCGGGUGGAUACUGCCGGGCUAGAAUCCGGAAGAGGCGAGUGGAAUUCCUGGUGUAGCGGUGGAAUGCGCAGAUAUCAGGAGGAACACCAAUAGCGAAGGCAGCUCGCUGGGACGGUAUUGACGCUAAGGCGCGAAAGCGUGGGGAGCAAACAGG